rnacentral:misc_RNA from 1 species
UCUGGAGCGAUGCCGUUACAAAUGACUUUUAAAUUAACCUCACGGUUAAUGAGGUUCUGUUUUUAUUGUACUACUGGUACUUGUUUAUUUAUAAAAUAUAGAUCAACCAUCUAUAGAAGUAUAGAUAGAGAUAAACAAGAGAAAAAAGAAGCCGAGUCUAACAAAAGGUAGACAAGGUUGAACUAGUCCUAUAGCUCAGUUGGUUAGAGCGCUACACUGAUAAUGUAGAGGUCGGCAGUUCAACUCUGCCUGGGACUACUCCGAAUAACUCUUACGGGGGAUUAGCUCAGCUGGCUAGAGCAUCUGCCUUGCACGCAGAGGGUCAACGGUUCGAAUCCGUUAUUCUCCACUCUCUCUGAAAAUGAGAAAACGAUCUUUGACAUGAUGAAAACAAAAAGUAAAAUUUUAGUAAAGAGCUAAAAGUAUAUAUCGAACCGUACGUUCUCCAGGUAUACACUAUCAAUAGUGGCAUACAGCGAGAAGUCAGUUUGAAAGAAAGUAAGCAAGGGCGCAUGGCGGAUGCCUUGGCUCUCGGAGGCGAUGAAGGACGUGAUAAGCUGCGAUAAGCUUCGGGUAGGUGCAAAUAACCUUUGAUCCGAAGAUUUC